UACGAAGGGGGCUAGCGUUGCUCGGAAUCACUGGGCGUAAAGGGUGCGUAGGCGGGUCUUUAAGUCAGGGGUGAAAUCCUGGAGCUCAACUCCAGAACUGCCUUUGAUACUGAAGAUCUUGAGUCCGGGAGAGGUGAGUGGAACUGCGAGUGUAGAGGUGAAAUUCGUAGAUAUUCGCAAGAACACCAGUGGCGAAGGCGGCUCACUGGCCCGGUACUGACGCUGAGGCACGAAAGCGUGGGUAGCAAACGGGGAU
rnacentral:rRNA from 1 species